AGUGGCAGUCGCAGCAGCUUCUCAGUUCUCCCCAUGAUUUUCUUCGCCUAAAACAUCGCCAGUUGAUUUUGAUUUUUCCUCCAUUACACUUUCUCUCUCUAAAAAUGGCGCAACAUCAAGCAUCAGCGAAGACAGGGUUUCUCGAAUUAGUCCCCUUUUUCGUUGUUCUUCUUCUUGCUGCUCAUGUUUUAGCUUUGGUGUACUGGAUCUUCAGAUUAGCAACUGAAAAACAACAACAAUUUCCUGGAAGAACCAAAAAACACUGAUUCUGAUUCAAUCUCCCUCCUUUUGCAUCCUCUACUUUUCGCUGUAAAUGGUCUGCUUGCGUUAAUCUGCACACAAUAGAAAGAUCAUGGUAGAGAUAGUGCUAACCGGGAAGUUUGCUUCAGAGAAUUCUUGUUUUAUGGCUUUGAUCUCGUAAGUCUGCUGUUCAUUCUCCUCCAUCCAUAGUCAGCUUAAUCAUCAUUGUGGAUGAUAGAGAAGAGGUGGUAUUGCUGAUCUUAUAAUGGAUCUCGAAAAUUAUGCAAUUUUCUACUUCCUAAUUGAUGUAAAAACUAGCAAGUAGCAAUUGAGGGGAAUGAAGUUGAGUUGGCUGCUAACUGAAUUGACGGGGUGAUUAUGUGCUUGCCUUUUGACUUUAUCGUUCAUUGAUUUAAAUUGAGUGUCGUCUCUGUACAUUAUAAUCUUGUAAAAUAAGAGCAUCUUCUGUAAAAUAAAGAGCUUUACAACUUCCCCUUUGAA